rnacentral:rRNA from 1 species
AGAGUUUGAUCCUGGCUCAGGAUUAACGUUGGUAGUAUGCCUAACACAUGCAAGUCGAGCGGAGAGUAGUAGCAAUACUGCUUUUAGCGGCGAACGGGUGAGUAAUGCUUAUCUUACUUGCCAAUUAGUGGGGGAUAACCACGGGAAACCGUGGCUAAUACCGCAUUUGUUACUUCGGUAAUAAAAGGAAGUCGUAAGAUUUUCGCUAAUUGAGAGGGAUAAGUCGUAUUAGUUAGUUGGUAGGGUAAUGGCCUACCAAGACAAUGAUGCGUAGCCGGCCUGAGAGGGUGAACGGCCACAAGGGAACUGAGACACGGUCCCUACUCCUACGGGAGGCAGAAGUGGGGAAUUUAUGGCAAUGGACGAAAGUCUGACCAAGCAAUACUACGUGAAGGAGGAAGGUCUAUGGAUUGUAAACUUCUUUACUAGAGGGUACUGCCGCAAGGUUUGCCCUUUAGCAAAAAGUCACGACUAACUAUGUGCCAGCAGUCGCGGUAAGACAUAGGUGGCGAACGUUAUCCGGAAUUAUUGGGCGUAAAGGGUGCGUAGAUGGUUUGAAAAGUUAGCGGUGGGAAAUCGAGGCUCAACCUCGUGGAAGUCGUUAAUACUAUCAGACUAGAGUGCAGGAGAGGUUAACGGAACUCAAUGUGGAGCGGUAAAAUGCGUAGAUAUAUUGAAGAACACCAAUAACGGCGAAGGCAGUUAACUAUUCUGUUACUGACGUUGAGGCACGAAAGCGUGGGGAGCAAAAAGGAUUAGAUACCCUUGUAGUCCACGCCCUAAACGAUGAGUGCUAGGUAUUGGAAACUUGAUUUUCAGUGUCGCUAGGUAACCCGGUAAGCACUCCGCCUGGGUAGUACGCUCGCAAGAGUGAAACUCAAAGGAAUUGACGGGGACUCGCACAAGCAGUGGAGCAUGUGGUUUAAUCCGAUACAACGCGUAGAACCUUACCAAGGCUUGACAUGUAAGGUAGCAAUACUAAACUAGGGAAACCUAGUUGAAUUACACAGGUGCUGCAUGGCCGUCGUCAGUUCGUGCCGUGAGUGUAUGGUUAAGUCCUAUAACGAACGCAACCCUUGUACUUAGUUACCAGCAUUUAGUUGGGGACUCUAAGUAGGCUGCAAGGUGUGCUUAGCAUGCCUGAACUGAGUAAUCAGGAGGAAGGAAAGGAUGACGUCUGGUCGUCAUGGCCCUUAUGCCUUGGGCGACACACGUGCUACAAUGGUUAGGACAAAGGGUCGCCAACCCGUGAGGGGGAGCCAAUCCCAAAAAACUAACCUCAGUUCGGAUUGGAGGCUGCAACUCGCCUCCAUGAAGUCGGAAUUGCUAGUAAUCGCAAAUCAGCCAUGUUGCGGUGAAUACGUUCUCGAGUCUUGUACACACCGCCCGUCAAGUCACGAAAGUCGGUAAUGCCUGAAACCAACUGACUAACCGCAAGGAAGCAGUUGACUAGGGUAGGAUUGGCAAUUGGGGCUAAGUCGUAACAAGGUA